GUCUCGAGCAUCCCAGACACCGUUGGACACUGUGAAAGAGCUAAGGACAAAGUGGGAGCCCAGGGGGCAGCUUGGACAAUUUUUCCUGAUCUGAAAAGAAUCUAGUAAAGAGUAAAAUUCAAAUGGCAUACACACGUAUGGAAUUCUCAAAAAAGAUGAGACUCUCGCCUCGCCCCCUGCUGUCUCCUCCCUUUGGUCCUGGGGAUGGCCAAGCACUAUUUAUUGAUAUUGAUCUUACUUCCUGUGCUAAGCACAUUAUUUUGAGAAAUGUUUUGCAGUUCUUAUCAAGUUUAGUGUAUCUGGUUUUAUACUGAAGUCUUUGGUCCAUGUCGAACUAAGUUUGGUACAGAGUGAUAAGUAUGAUAUAUUUGCAUUUUUCUAAUAAAGACAGUUUGAAGAUC
rnacentral:lncRNA from 1 species